GCAGAAUGUUAUCAGCUGCACCUGGCAAGAGUCCCUCAUGGCCUGUUAAGAAACUUCAGAGCAUAGGCUGCAGUUCUCAAUAUCUCUUUACCAAUCCAGUACUGUAUAUGUAUCUUAAUGUGGGCCAAUCACAUGCAUACAUUUGCAAUACCUUGCUCUUCUGAAUCGGUAUCAAUCUAUCAGUUUGUUCCCUCGCUUUUAGAGCAAACAGGCUACCAAACCAGCAAUGCAUCCUGCUAUGGACAUACUUUGUACCGGAGGACAGUCCUGGCCCAGUUCAUCAUCUCCCAGAUGCCUUGGACACUCGUCUCCUAGGUGGUUUCUGUAAAUUCCAGAGCUGGCCCAAACAGAAGAGUCUGAGUAAGUCAAGAGACAUAUUUAAAUCUGCUAAAGGAAAGCUAAAGUUACUACCUGCUGA